rnacentral:lncRNA from 10 species
CACUGUACCUGGCCUGUAAAUUUAAUAGUACAAUGAUUAUGACAUAACAUAUUCCCCCCUAGCUGUUUUUCUGGAUUAAAAUUUUGUAAAGAUACAUUUUCAUAGAAAGUUAAUUAGCUUAUUUUUCACUGGGAAAAAAAAAAAUCACUGGUUUAUAAACAAACCCCAAUAAUGGAAAGUGUUUACCUUUGCCUCAAUGUUUGUUUUAAUUAUCUUGCUAGGGAGUUCUUAUUCUUUAAUCCCCAUUUCCCAAAAAUAGCCACUAUCAACACUUUUUUUUUUUAAAGACAAAGUCUCACUCUGUCACCCAGGCUGCAGUGCAGUGCUGUGAUCAUAGCUCACUGUAGCCUUGAAUUCCUGGACUCAAGUGAUCCAGCCUCCCAAUAUACUAAGACUACACGUGUGAACCACCAUACUUGGCUUACUUUUCAAUUUUUUGUAGAAAGGGGGUUCUCUCACUUUGUUGCCCAGCCGGGUCUGAAACUCCUGGCCUCAACUGAUCCUACUGCCUCAGCCUCCAAAAGCAGAGAUUACAGGUGAGAGCCACUGCACCUGGCCUCAACAAUACAUUCCUAUAUUCCUUUUGAUUUUUUCCUUGUAUUAUGUACACUAUCAUAAUUUUAUACAUACUGUUUUGCAACUUGCUUUUUUCAAGUACAAUAAGCACCCUAAAGAUGUAAGCUGGUUAAUCUUUGAAGUAUUUUUAAUUGUUGGAGGCAUUCCUAUAAUAAGUAGUUGUCAUGGGAGAUGGAAAACUGAAUCUCUGAGCUGACUAAAAGUACCUCCAUACAUCUUUUUAAAAAGAGCUAUUUUAUAGGGCCAGUCACAGUGGCUCACGGCU